CUUCAUCGCGUGACUAAUAAAGUUUACUGCGGAAGGAUUCCUGUGGUCGCGUGCGUUUCCGCCGGCGAAACAUUCACGCGGCGGCUCCCAACAUCUGGUGCUGAAACCCCGGAACAUUGCUGGGAAGAAAACAAUCCAUUCUGGGUACCGGAGCGCCUCACGCGAAAGCUCGUGACAGCUGAAGAUGAUCUUCCAACAGACACACCUGCUACUGCUGAAAGAAUCAAGGACAGCGAGGAGGACCACUAAUUCUACUCGAGUGGAUUCAUUGCCCACAGACUGGCUUUACCCUGGGUUUCUUCUGCCUUUUCUUACUUCAGAUUGGGUGGGGGUCGGAAUGUUUGGUGUAGCAUUGUGUCGUGGCUUAGUGUUUUUUACUCUGGUUGUUCUGCAAACUCUAUACCCAAAACAAACGUGACUAGGUCGCAAUCGCGCAAGCACUAGCACCCUUGGAACAAGGAUCGUCUCCCAAAAAUUUGGUUAUCCAUGUUAAAAAAUUAAAACAGACUGUGACACUCAGUCGAUGCACCUCAGGGGUUUCA